CUUGCCCUACGGGGGGCAGCAGUGGGGAAUAUUGCACAAUGGGGGAAACCCUGAUGCAGCGACGCCGCGUGAGCGAUGAAGUAUUUCGGUAUGUAAAGCUCUAUCAGCAGGGAAGAAAAUGACGGUACCUGACUAAGAAGCCCUGGCUAACUACGUGCCAGCAGCCGCGGUAAUACGUAGGGGGCAAGCGUUAUCCGGAUUUACUGGGUGUAAAGGGAGCGUAGACGGCAUGGCAA
rnacentral:rRNA from 1 species